AUGGAGGACACGAACGAGUACAGCAAGAUAGAGGAAUUUGCAGAGGGCUCCAAGAUCAACGCGAGCAAGAAUCAGCAGGAUGACGGUAAGAUGUUUAUUGGAGGCUUGAGCUGGGAUACAAGCAAGAAAGAUCUGACUGAAUAUUUGUCUGGAUUUGGGGAAGUUGUAGACUGCACAAUUAAAACAGAUCCAGUCACUGGAAGAUCAAGAGGAUUUGGAUUUGUGCUUUUCAAAGAUGCUGCUAGUGUUCAUAAGGUUUUGGAACUGAAAGAACACAAACUGGAUAGCAAAUUGAUAGACCCCCAAAGAGCCAGAGCUUUAAAAGGGGAAGAGCCCCCUAAAAAGGUUUUUGUGGGAGGAUUGAGCCCAGAUACUUCUGAAGAACAGAUUAAAGAAUAUUUUGGCACCUUUGGAGAGAUUGAAAAUAUUGAACUUCCCAUGGAUACAAAAACAAAUGAAAGGCGAGGACUUUGUUUUAUCACAUAUACAGAUGAAGAGCCAGUAAAGAAAUUGUUAGAAAGCAGAUACCAUCACAUGGGUUCUGGGAAGUGUGAAAUCAAAGUUGCACAGCCCAGAGAAGUCUAUAGGGAGCAACAGCAACAACAGAAAGGAGGAAGAAGUGCUGCAUCCAGUGGACGAAGUGGUACUAGGGGUAGAGGCCGAGGUCAGGGCCAAAACUGGAACCAAGGAUUUAAUAACUAUUAUGAUCAAGGAUAUGGAAAUUACAAUAGUGCCUAUGGUGGUGAUCAAAACUAUAGUGACUAUGGUGGAUAUGAUUAUACUGGGUAUAACUAUGGGAGCUAUGGAUAUGGACAGGGAUAUACAGACUACAGUGGCCAACAGAGCACUUAGGGCAAGGCAUCUCCAGGGGGUGGCAAUCACCAAAACUAUUACCAGCCAU